rnacentral:rRNA from 1 species
UCUAGCUAGGAAUAAUAACCACUUGAUCUCAUCAGAUGUCAAAAGUUAAGAAUGCCUGGCCACUAGUGAGGUGGGAGACCUCCAAGGAAAACAAGAUUGCUGCUGUAA